AUAAAUCCUUUUCGAAAGAAAAAAAUCUGUUAUCAGUUUAAUAUCUGAUACGUCCCCUACCCGGGGACCAUAUAUUAAAUUGAUUUUUGGAGCAGGGAGAUGGAAUAGGGGCUUGCUCCGUCCACUCCACGCAUCGACCUGGUAUUGCAGUACCUCCAGGACCGGUGCACCCCCU
rnacentral:snRNA from 1 species